rnacentral:piRNA from 1 species
UGAUGUUGACUCUUAGUGUUGUUGAGCA